rnacentral:rRNA from 1 species
GAUGAACGCUGGCGGCGUGCCUAAUACAUGCAAGUCGAGCGAACAGACGAGGAGCUUGCUCCUCUGACGUUAGCGGCGGACGGGUGAGUAACACGUGGAUAACCUACCUAUCAGACUGGGAUAACUUCGGGAAACCGGUGCUAAUACCGGAUAAUAUAUUGAACCGCAUGGUUCAAUAGUGAAAUACGGUUUUGCUUUCACUUGUAGAUUGAUCCGCGCCGCAUUAGCUAGUUGGUAAGGUAACGGCUUACCAAGGCGACGAUGCGUAGCCGACCUGAGAGGGUGAUCGGCCACACUGGAACUGAGACACGGUCCAGACUCCUACGGGAGGCAGCAGUAGGGAAUCUUCCGCAAUGGGCGAAAGACUGACGGAGCAACGCCGCGUGAGUGAUGAAGGUUUUCGGAUCGUAAAACUCUGUUAUUAGGGAAGAACAAAUGUGAAAGUAACUAUGAACGUCUUGACGGUACCUAAUCAGAAAGCCACGGCUAACUACGUG